CGGUGAAGCCAAGCUUGCUUGGUGGAUCAGUGGCGAACGGGUGAGUAACACGUGAGCAACCUGCCCUGGACUCUGGGAUAAGCGCUGGAAACGGCGUCUAAUACUGGAUAUGAGCUCUCAUCGCAUGGUGGGGGUUGGAAAGAUUUUUCGGUCUGGGAUGGGCUCGCGGCCUAUCAGCUUGUUGGUGAGGUAAUGGCUCACCAAGGCGUCGACGGGUAGCCGGCCUGAGAGGGUGACCGGCCACACUGGGACUGAGACACGGCCCAGACUCCUACGGGAGGCAGCAGUGGGGAAUAUUGCACAAUGGGCGGAAGCCUGAUGCAGCAACGCCGCGUGAGGGAUGACGGCCUUCGGGUUGUAAACCUCUUUUAGCAGGGAAGAAGCGAGAGUGACGGUACCUGCAGAAAAAGCGCCGGCUAACUACGUGCCAGCAGCCGCGGUAAUACGUAGGGCGCAAGCGUUAUCCGGAAUUAUUGGGCGUAAAGAGCUCGUAGGCGGUUUGUCGCGUCUGCUGUGAAAUCCCGAGGCUCAACCUCGGGCCUGCAGUGGGUACGGGCAGACUAGAGUGCGGUAGGGGAGAUUGGAAUUCCUGGUGUAGCGGUGGAAUGCGCAGAUAUCAGGAGGAACACCGAUGGCGAAGGCAGAUCUCUGGGCCGUAACUGACGCUGAGGAGCGAAAGGGUGGGGAGCAAACAGGCUUAGAUACCCUGGUAGUCCACCCCGUAAACGUUGGGAACUAGUUGUGGGGACCAUUCCACGGUUUCCGUGACGCAGCUAACGCAUUAAGUUCCCCGCCCUGGGGAGUACGGCCGCAAGGCUAAAACUCAAAGGAAUUGACGGGGACCCGCACAAGCGGCGGAGCAUGCGGAUUAAUUCGAUGCAACGCGAAGAACCUUACCAAGGCUUGACAUAUACGAGAACGGGCCAGAAAUGGUCAACUCUUUGGACACUCGUAAACAGGUGGUGCAUGGUUGUCGUCAGCUCGUGUCGUGAGAUGUUGGGUUAAGUCCCGCAACGAGCGCAACCCUCGUUCUAUGUUGCCAGCACGUAAUGGUGGGAACUCAUGGGAUACUGCCGGGGUCAACUCGGAGGAAGGUGGGGAUGACGUCAAAUCAUCAUGCCCCUUAUGUCUUGGGCUUCACGCAUGCUACAAUGGCCGGUACAAAGGGCUGCAAUACCGUGAGGUGGAGCGAAUCCCAAAAAGCCGGUCCCAGUUCGGAUUGAGGUCUGCAACUCGACCUCAUGAAGUCGGAGUCGCUAGUAAUCGCAGAUCAGCAACGCUGCGGUGAAUACGUUCCCGGGUCUUGUACACACCGCCCGUCAAGUCAUGAAAGUCGGUAACACCUGAAGCCGGUGGCCCAACCCUUGUGGAGGGAGCCGUCG
rnacentral:rRNA from 1 species